AUGAAAUUGGCAGUAUGCCACCAACGUGGUUAAUCUGGGUCAACAUUGUUUGAAGGGGGACAUGGUUUACUGUUCUGGAGUUAAAAAUGUUAAUGCAUCUUUAGUCGCUAUGGAUUUAUCAGUGGAGGAAGGAAGUCUAAAGUACAGGUUGAAAAUGUUAAGUGUCUCUUUGGUAUUGCCAUGGAUUUACAUGCAUCAGUAUGAAUUUGGCAAUCAAGUACAGUUCAUAAGCAAACAUGAAGGCCAAAUAAGUCCUUUGAACUGGGUAAAAAGAAAAUUUGUAAAGACACCGGUACAGUUACUGUUGUGGAAGUUUAUUGGGCCAUAUCUUCAGGUGGGUCAGUGGUAAUACCAUUUAAUAUGUCAAAGUGAAGAAGUUCCUAUGGAGUUGGUUUAUAACCAGGAAUCUCAAUUGCACUGAAUAUUCGUUUAGUUUGUCCAUCAGAACCAUCAGGUUUUCUGAUUCGAAUAAAGAUUUUACC